rnacentral:rRNA from 1 species
CGGACGGGUGAGUAAUGCCUAGGAAUCUGCCUGGUAGUGGGGGAUAACGUUCCGAAACGAACGCUAAUACCGCAUACGUCCUACGGGAGAAAGCAGGGGACCUUCGGGCCUUGCGCUAUCAGAUGAGCCUAGGUCGGAUUAGCUAGUUGGUGAGGUAAUGGCUCACCAAGGCGACGAUCCGUAACUGGUCUGAGAGGAUGAUCAGUCACACUGGAACUGAGACACGGUCCAGACUCCUACGGGAGGCAGCAGUGGGGAAUAUUGGACAAUGGGCGAAAGCCUGAUCCAGCCAUGCCGCGUGUGUGAAGAAGGUCUUCGGAUUGUAAAGCACUUUAAGUUGGGAGGAAGGGCAUUUACCUAAUACGUAAUUGUUUUGACGUUACCGACAGAAUAAGCACCGGCUAACUCUGUGCCAGCAGCCGCGGUAAUACAGAGGGUGCAAGCGUUAAUCGGAAUUACUGGGCGUAAAGCGCGCGUAGGUGGUUUGUUAAGUUGAAUGUGAAAUCCCCGGGCUCAACCUGGGAACUGCAUUCAAAACUGACAAGCUAGAGUAUGGUAGAGGGUCGGUGGAAUUUCCUGUGUAGCGGUGAGAUGCGUAGAUAUAGGAAGGAACACCAGUGGCGAAGGCGACCACCUGGACUGAUACUGACACUGAGGUGCGAAAGCGU